GGAGGUUUUACCAUAGCCAGGGGCUUACAUGCGGCCUCUCCCACAAUGCAGUGGGCCUCACCAUCAAGUAUCUCACUGCGAUAGAUUAUAUUGGAAACAAGAUUACAAUCCAAUGCUGUAAAAGGGUUCUUGUGGCACAGUGGUAGUGCUUCUAACUCUGAGCCAGGGGACCCAGAUUGAAGAUCCACCAACUCCAGUGAUGCAUCAUAAUAUGUCAGAGCAGGUUUAUUAGAAAAUAUCAAGAGUCAGAUCACAACUUGACAUUUCAGAAUUCCCAGUCAAGUCCAAGGAGAGGUUUAAAUGCUGAAAUGGCCUUGGAAGUGCUUUAUAUUUCACAGUCUGUGCGCUGUAUAUUGUUGUGUCUUGUGCCUCAUAUUUUGUGAAGGUGCCAGUGUUUGUGCUUGACAGUGCAGUGCCUGUUAUAGAUGAGGCUGGCCUGUAUCAUUCUACGAAAUUCUGCAAUAAAAGAGGUGAA